rnacentral:rRNA from 1 species
AACGUAGGAGACAAACGUUAUCCGGAGUUACUGGGCGUAAAGGGCGUGUAGGUGGUUACGUAAGUCUGGCGUGAAAUUUCUCGGCUUAACCGAGGCAGGUCGUCGGAUACUGCGAGACUAGAGGACGGUAGAGGCGUGUGGAAUUCCGGGUGUAGUGGUGAAAUGCGUAGAGAUCGGCAGGAACACCCAGGGGAAACCGAGCCGACUGGGCACAUGCUGACGCUGAGGUGCGAGAGCGUGGGAGCGAACCGG